rnacentral:snRNA from 8 species
AUCGCUUCUCGGCCUUUUGGCUCAGAUCAAGUGUAGUAUCUGUUCUUAUCAGUUGAAUAUCUGAUACGUCCCCCAUCGGGGGACUACAUAUUAAAUGGAUUUUUCGAACAGGGAGUCGGAAAAUGGGGCUUGCUC